AAGUUCACAGGAUCAAGGAGACACGGUUGAUUUUUUAGGACCCUUAAUAUCUCAAAUUCACACUGUCCAUGAGAUCUUAGAAAAACAUGAGUGACACAUACGGUGUACUGUCCGGCGAUCGUGGUUUCAGAAAGGUAAGAAGAAUGGGAAGUAAAGAAACUGCAUUGAUAGUCAUGCAUGAAGAAUAUAAAAUCCUCAAGUGCUACAAAAAUGAUAGAAGUUCUUCCAAGAGGGCCAUCUCCUUUCUCUAAAGCAUAAUGUUGUGAGCUACAAGAUUCAGCAUCAUGAGUUUUUGCCUAUAAACUGCGAAACUCAACAAUAUUAUGUUUGGAU